AACGAAUGUUGGCGGCAGGCCUAACACAUGCAAGUCGAGCGGGCAUUCAGGUUUUUUGAAUGCUAGCGGCGAACGGGUGAGUAACGCGUGAGAAUCUACCUUAUUCUUAGGGAUAGUGUAAGGAAUAUCUUGCAGUAAUACCGCAUAAGUCCUGUAUCAGGCAAAGAGUUUAGCGGAAUAAAAUGAGCUUGCGUUAGAUUAGCUAGUUGGUGGGGUAAAGGCCUACCAAGGCGAUGAUCUAUAGCUGGUCUGGGAGGACGACCAGCCACAUUGGGACUGAGACAAGGCCCAAACUUCUACGGAAGGCAGCAGUGGGGAAUAUUGGACAAUGGGCGAAAGCCUGAUCCAGCUAUGUCGCGUGAGUGAUGAAGGUUGUGUGAAUAUCGAUGAAUAUUUUUAACUGUAAAGCUCUUUUAUCGGUGAUAAUUAUGAUUGUAACCGAAGAAUAAGCUCCGGCUAACUCCGUGCCAGCAGCCGCGGUAAUACGGGGGGGAGCAAGUGUUGUUCGGAUUUAUUGGGCGUAAAGGGCGCGUAGGCGGUUUGAUAAGUUGAUACUUAAAUUUUGAGGCUUAACCUCAUAAAAGUGUCAAUACUGUUAAGCUAGAGUUUAGUGGGGGUGAACGGAAUUCCAAGUGUAGAGGUGAAAUUCGUAGAUAUUUGGAGGAACGCCGGAGGCGAAGGCGGUUCAUUAUGCUAAGUUGACGCUAAUGCGCGAAAGCGUGGGGAGCAAACAGGAUUAGAUACCCUGGUAGUCCACGCCGUAAACGAUGAGUGCUAACAGUUGAGGAUAGGUUUGGCUUAUUGCUUGAUUGUGAAAGCUAACGCGUUAAGCACUCCGCCUGGGGAGUACGAUCGCAAGAUUAAAACUCAAAGGAAUUGACGGAGACUCGUACAAGCGGUGGAGCAUGUGGUUUAAUUCGAAACGAAUCGAAGAACCUUACCAGCUCUUGACAUUUUAGGCUGAAACGUUGAGAAAUUAACAAUUCGGUUUUCCAUGAAAGGAAAGCAGGCCUUUAACAGGUGCUGCAUGGCUGUCGUCAGCUCGUGUCGUGAGAUGUAUGGUUAAGUCCUAUAACGAGCGCAACCCUUACCCUUAGUUGCUUAUUAAAGCUCUUUAAGGUGGACCGCUAAUGUUUAGUUAGAGGAAGGGAAGGAUGACGUCUAGUCUUCAUGGCCCUUAUGGGCUGGGCUACACACGUGCUACAAUGGUGGUCACAGAAAGUCGCAAAGUCGCGAGACUGAGCAAAUCUUAAAAGGCCAUCUUAGUUCGGAUUGUACUCUGCAACUCGAGUGCAUGAAGUAGGAAUCGCUAGUAAUCGCGGAUCAGCAUGCCGCGGUGAAUACGUUCUCGGGUCUUGUACACACCGCCCGUCACACCAUGGGAGUUGGCUUUGUCUUAAGCUACGCUAGGCGUAGUGAAAAUAAGGUUAAUAACUGGGGUG
rnacentral:rRNA from 1 species